rnacentral:rRNA from 1 species
CAGUAGCCGCGGGAACACGGAGGGUGCAAGCGUUAUCCGGAUUUAUUGGGUUUAAAGGGUCCGUAGGCGGAUCUGUAAGUCAGUGGUGAAAUCUCACAGCUUAACUGUGAAACUGCCAUUGAUACUGCAGGUCUUGAGUAAAUUUGAAGUGGCUGGAAUAAGUAGUGUAGCGGUGAAAUGCAUAGAUAUUACUUAGAACACCAAUUGCGAAGGCAGGUCACUAAGAUUUAACUGACGCUGAUGGACGAAAGCGUGGGGAGCGAACAGGAUUAGAUACCCCCGUAGUCCCUGUCUCUUAUAC